CUUGUUGCUGGCAGAAGGACUCCAUCAAAAUGCUGUCGAGCACCUGGUCUACAGUAACAGCGGCUCCCUGCACCGAGUCACCGUCUCCUGUCAGCGACUCCGUGUCCAUGCCGUUCACAGUCCCACGGUUUCCUACUUUGGGAACUUUGUUAUGCGUGAUGACGGAUGAAGAAGCUGAACGUUGAAAACCUGAUUACUGCAAAAGUUUUUAAAAUGAACUUCUCUUGGAUUCUCCAGCUGGGGGCAACAUUGUGUUGUAAAACAAAAAGGUGUUCAUGGACAGAUGAGUCAUGCUUUUGGGCGAGCGCUUUAUAAACAGUACCAAAAGGACCCUAGCUGUAUGUACCUGACAUAUUAACCAGGAUUCUGUUGCCUUGCAAGAUUUCUUUCUGUCAGAUUUUUAGUUCUUGCCACUUGCCACCAAGAAUUUAAAUCUACAUCUGGAUUUGUGUAAAGCUGGCUAUAAAAAUAAAAUUGUAUUGAUCUGAAUUGUGUACAACAUGUCUUUUUAUAGGCUUCACAGGCAUACAUACAACCUAGUAAAACAUUGUAAUGAGUGAUAUUUGUUUAGUUGUUGAUUUUAAUUGCUCACCUAGGACCAAAUCCACCUACCAAAAUCCUCCCAAAUCCAAAAUGAACUUUACCAGCUCUACUGGAACCCACUGAGCAAAACAAUUUUCCCCCACUUGACCUUUCUAUAGAUGUAAGAUUAUAUCCUAUAGUUAUUCAAGCAGUUGGAAAAUAGGUUGAGCAAUUGAAUGUGAAUAUUACCCACUGAGUGUUUUAAAAUAAAAAUAUAAAUGGUAUAGCUGGGAUUCAGAAGCCUGUACGCACUCCAACUGCCAACACAUAGCCAUGUCCCUACAGCUACCACUGUAAUUGAGUCCUUUUUGUGGCAUCAGAGUGAAACGUUAGGUGUAAUUGAGUUUCCAAUUACAGACUCUUUGAUAGGAACAUAGCAGAGGAUCCGAAGUUGCAGGGCCGUAAUUAUUGUAAACUAAUGUGCAGGCUGUGGCGAAGGGAAAGAGAGGAAAAGAAAAUGCAGGAAAAGAAUGUUAUUUCAUUCAAAUGGAAGCCAUACAAAUUCUAUAAAUAAAAUUGAAAAGUCUCAACCACAGAAAGAAUGACUUUAAAGAUGUGUCCCUUAAACAAGAUUCAUAUUAAGAAGCAGCCAUAAAAAAGUCCUUUAAGAAGAUUCUUCCAGUCAUUAAUAUUAGACAAGAUAUCCUUCAUGUCUCAAUGUCAGUUAGAAGCAACACCUGUAACCCCUGUGUUUUCAACAUUCAGCUUCAGAUUGUCAGUGUCCUUCCUCCAAGCUGUUAAAGCCCUGUUUCACCUCACUGGACUAUUUUCACAAAACAACAUCUGUGCUUAGCCAAGGAGAACUAAUGGUGCUGGGCUUACUAAGACCUAAAAUCUAACACACAGAGCAACAGGCCUAAUAAAGAAUAUAUGGUAAAACACUUAUUGGUUUAUUGGUGAAUGCAGGAGAAUCCUAGUUAUAUUUUAUGUCUGUUUUGACUCAGCAGUUUCACUGUAAUCACUAGAGUAAAUUAUUAAAUGUUAAAUUAUUUUAGUCUCUCAAAUCCAAAACUAUUCUGUCUGUAGAAAGCUGUGGAUCUCUUAUAUCUGAGGCCGUACCAUUAAACACCCUUGUAAGCAUAUUUGGUCCAAAUACACAAAAUAUAAAUGAGAAUUAGGGUCUCUGACAGAAGAUGUGUAAGGCACAUUCAGGAAUUAGAAAAGGCCCCUUUUCAAAACAGUGAUACCCACAUCAAGAGCAUUCAGCCAACC